UAGCUCAGAUGGUAAAGAAUCUGCCUGCAAUGCAGGAGAACCAGGUUCGAUUCCUGG
rnacentral:tRNA from 1 species